UACGAGGGGGGCAAAUGUUGUUCGGAAUCACUGGGCGUAAAGGGAGCGUAGGCGGGUUUUUAAGUCAGGUGUUUAAUCCCGGGGCCCAACCCCGGACCGGCACUUGAAACUGGGAAUCUUGAAUAGGGGAGAGGUCAGUGGAAUUGGAGAUGUAGCGGUGGAAUGCGUAGAGAUCUCCAAGAACACCAGUUGCGAAGGCGGCUGACUGGACCCAUAUUGACGCUGAGGCUCGAAAGCAUGGGGAGCAAACAGG
rnacentral:rRNA from 1 species